ensembl:lincRNA B130011K05Rik RIKEN cDNA B130011K05 gene
AAUUAUCCAGUUCCUCUCUGCCACACACCCACCAUGCGUGGAAAGUGCCGGCAACGCUGAGAUGGAGCGACUUCAAAAAGGACUCUGACCUCCGUGGCCUGUUCCUUGCUUUCUGUUUUACUUUCUUCUGGCUCAGUGCAAUGAGAGUCCGCCAGUACGAGAAAAGCAGAAUACAGUUAAGUUUUUCCUCGAGUCUCAAGGAGUUCAACGCAUGCAUUAUCUCGUUUGCUUCGAUAGAUUUAUUUUAAUCUCCCAUCAUGCAUUAGCUCCUACAACCCUUUGACGCCAAGAGUCGCCUCUGAAGACAUACAGUGACAAUGAGAAGCCUUGUGAUGUUUUGAGGAUUCAUGGGGAUAUUAUGAAUUGAAGACAUCCCAGUUGGCAGGAAAUUCACAUGGAUUUAACUAUUUUAAAGAGAACAAGCGACAGGCAAUUAGCAUAUUCACAACAUUGUCAAACAGUGUUCUAUUUAGUUCCAAAAUAUUUUCACCACCUCCAAAUAAAAUUAUAGAACCAUCAAAGAGUUGAUCCUCACUGCUUCUUGUACCAGUUCCAUGGCUUUAACAGUCCAGGACAUUUCACAAGAGUGGCACCGGGCCUCUUCCUGUCCUGAUUCACUGACACAGCAAGUGCUCUUGAGAUUCCUUUGUGAUGUAGAACGUAUCUGCAUUUCACUGUUUUAUACAGUGCUGCAGUUUAAAUCCGAGAUGUCCCUUAUGAGCCCACAGUUAGACACUUUGGUCUUUAGCAGCUGCUGAUGUGUUUAGAAGGUAGAGGGCUAGCUGAGGAAUCAUUUUGAAGGCUGUAUCUGUUAGCCGUUGACUUGCCUCCUGCCCACCAGGGUGUGAGUAGCCUCUGCCCAUGUGAUCCUGCUGUCAAGAUCAUCUGCCUAGCCCAGGUACUAUAGCAAACCCUUGGAAACAGUGAGCACAACAAAUCCUCCCUCCCUCAAAAUGUAUGUCACAUAACUUGCCACGGUAUGCCACAUUUCACUAUUAAGCAUCACCAAACAACACAAGUAUAUCUAGUCCUCUAUAGGUGUUAAGUUGCAGACUCAGUCAACCAAAGAGGGAAAAAUAUAUGAAAGAUGCAUCAGCCUUCUUUUACUGUCCCGGCUUUCUGAACAAUGCACUGCAGUAAUUUCAUCAGCAUGCACAUUGUGUUAUGGAUUACAAAUCAUCUUCACGUGUUCUAGAAGCCUUCCUCAAGGACACCAGGGGAUGGACAAAGCAUAGUUAGCAUUUCUAAUUUGUUUUCCGCUUUGGGCCCCAUUUGUUUCCAUGACUAACCCAAGACUACCAGCCCAGGGAUGGCACCACCCACAAUGGACCCUCCCUCCCCUCUUGAUCACUAAUUGAGAAAAUGCCUUACAGCUGGAUCUCGUGGAAGCAUUUCCUUACCUGAAGCUCCUUUCUCUGUGAUAACUCCAGCUGUGUCAAGUUGACACACAGAACCAGCCAGUACAGUCUUCUUGUAGGAACCAGCCAAAUACAUGUACCUCUUUGCCUGGGAAGCCCAGUGUCCUGUCUGGACAGGGGACUCAAAACCGCAUCUCUGCUGCAGGGGUCCUGAGUCUUCCAGCCUCUGUGCUUCCCGACUCGUGCGUUGCUCUCUGCUCAAACAAGAACAGUUUAAAUUACUUUGCCUCGGGUUUUUGUUUUGCCCCAUAUCAUGCAUCCAAGACUCUGUGUCUCUCAUACAAGCUACAGCUAGAAUGUUUAUGAAGUGAUGCUUCAGUCCCAAAACCCAGGCCAUUCUCCCACUUAGUGCUGCAGAGGAGACAUUUCACGCCAACCUCCUUUUUUUCCUUUUUAGGCAGUCUGUUUUUGUUUGGAUUUUACUGUUGCUAUUUCCUCCCUCCCAUCUGUUUUAUCUUUGAAAUUAGGAAAAUACUGGAUAGAAGUGUGACUCACUUCUACCUAGCAGUAAGGAAGCCAUUUGCCUUUGAAUACAUUAGUUUAAUUCUUUCUCUGGUUAGUCCUUCUGUUACAGUUUUUGUUUGGUAAUUAUGUAUAUUAUAAGACAUACAAAUAACAUGUUGCAUUAGCUUUAUGUCAUAGCUAAACUAUGCUGCAGUUAUACAAACUUCCAAAGUUUCAGUGGCUUGAAUUUUUACGUCUUGCUCAAGCGAUGCCUGGCGUGUUUGGGAUGAUUUAGGAUUUCCCAGAUUGCUUCAAUUUUGUGGUUUUGGUAUGGCAACAUGCGUCUUCCAAGGUGGCUUCUGGAAUGAAGUAAGGAUCCCGAGACCUUUCUCUGGCCCAUCAGUCCUUCCGUGUAAUCGUUUUGCUCACUCCCAGGAGCGGCUACGAGCCACACCCUCGAGGCACAUGACAUCUGAUGAACUGCACAAUAGGCUGCUAUAAAAUCAAAGGCAGGAAUUGAUUCUGAAGACAGAUGACCCCUUUCGACAAACUAAAGAGAAUUGAUUCAACGUUUUAGGUUCCCUCCUGGCCUCAGUGUCACACUCCGUCUGCUCAGAUGUGGAAAUGGAAGCUCACCUUUCCUCAUUAUUGAAAGUUGGAAUGAGUUUUAUCACGAACCAAGUGGAUUUCCUUUGAGUCCUUUCUGGACCAGGAGAGAAGUGAAGCAUUUAGGUUUAUUUGUUUGUUUGUUUGGCACCUGAGAGGGUAUAAAGGACAUCGCUUCUGCUUUUUCUCCCCUUGCCUCUCAGUGUUCUGAAUACGCUGAGAUGCCAGCUGUUGAUAUCUGUCCUUGGUUCGGCCUCCACAACAACUGAACAGCAAUGUCUUUGACUUUUGACAUGUGAAUAGACUCCCUUCAUAGUUUCUAAUCUCUAUAGGAAUUAUUUUUGAUGACUUUAUUUCUUAGCUUAUUUACUAUUUAAAUUUUUUCUGUUUAGAAAAAAAUGAGAAUAAGGAGGAAGGCGACCACUGCAAACAGUCAACACAGCUCCAGCAAGCAUCGCCUGGGAAGCAGAGAAAGGAAACAGAAAGGAGCAAAAGACGUGUGUUCUGAUGAUCUUCCAUCAUCAACUUUAUUUUUAAAAAGUCAUAUUUAGCUGAACUCUUGAGUGAAAGAAAUACAGGAGAAAUUUCUAACUCAAAUCUCAAAUUCGAAUGUCGUUACUCUGAGGUGCACUUACACAUACAGAGGUUGGAUUAGCACUAAGACUAAGUCCUCAAUUUGGGAGGUCCCUAGAAUUUAAACUUUUGGGUGCUAUGGCAUGAUGUGACCUCAUGAGAUGGCUCCAAGUACAACCCCAUAAAGAUGGUGUACAAGACCCCCUACUGUGCGUGCAAGGCACAUGUG